rnacentral:lncRNA from 1 species
UUGCAACCAAAGAGAAAGAUCUCUCUCCUUGUUUAGCAAUUUCUCCACCAAAGAGAGGAAUUGGAGGUGGAUUUGGAGAAGAAAAAAAAAGCUUGCUUAGAGGUGAAGCUUUCUUUUCUUCACCAUUGGCUUGAAGAGAGCUUGGGUUUGAGAGGUAAGCUUUGAUAGCAACAAUGGUAAAUUGCUAAGUAGUAAUUUAUAUGCCUUAGAAAUGGGUUUAGUGAAACUCCUGGAUGCUAAAUAGAUGGUUGAUGCUUGAAUUUAGAGAUCAAAUGAGGAAUUCUUGCAUAGUUGCAUCUUAGGGCAUCAAAAGAGGGGUUUUGCUUGUGAGGGGUUUUGAUCUAAAUUGAUCAUGUAUAAACCUAAUUGCUAGGUUUUCUGACGCGUUGGCGAAGUCGGUUCGGCGAUACGACGAGGCAACGUGAAGAUAUUAAAGAACGAAGCCGUUAAGGUACAGAUUGCUGCAGCUCGCGGCGAAAGCUUCCAAAAAUCACGAAAUCGGAACCUUAGCCUCGUGAUAGCGAUAAAAGGUAGGGGGUGUCAUCCCGAAGCAACCGGGUUUCUUUUUAUGUCUAAGUUAAUCAUGUUGAUCAUAUUGCGCUAUAGGAAUAGUAGUUGUAUAUUUCCAUUUCCUUGCAUGCUUUCUUGGUAGUGUAGCGGGGUGAGCUUGACACGUGAACUAGGAUAGCAUGAGGAUCGGGUCUUGUGACAUAGAAUCCUAUAGCGGCAUAAAGGGCCGAAGUUGGACAUAGCCUAGUAGAGUGGCAUUGAACUAGUGUGGUAGAAGUACUAUGACAUGAACGAGUGGCAUGUAGAAUAAUUGAGACAUUUACUACAGUGACUGAACGAGUGGUAUCGAGUCUACUGUAGUAAACUUGACAUAAACCUAGGGAUAGUAGAGGUCCCAACAUUGAUUAUAUAUCAUGAUUGUGCAGUAGAGGCACAUUGACCCUAGUAGACAGGGUAUCCUCUUGAGAUUAUUGGAUCAUACUCAUUAGUCUGUUUCGCUUGUCGGUGGUUGCUCCACCGAAGCACGAGUCUCCGGAGUAUCUCACAGGGUUGUCCCGCAGACGGUCUCGGUAUGCGAGUGCAGCUUCUCCUCACCUAUGAGAUUAAAAGUGAGUCGAGGGUUAACCUACGGCUUAACCAAGUAGAUUGGGUAACAAACAUGAGAUGCAUAGUAGACUUGUAUUAUUACCUCGAGUAGACAUAGUGUAUGUGAUAGAUUGCAUGGCUAUGUACUUUUAUAUACUCAUGACAUGAUUCUAGCAUGACAGUAGUUGUUGCAUGCAUCAUCAUCAUUGAUGGCAUGAUAGAGUAGUUGCAGUUUAUCUCUUUAUAUAUCUAUCUACCUCUCUAUCUGUGCCAGCUUAGAUCUAGUGGGAAAACCGGCGGCGUCGGCGGCCGAACCCACUGGGAACUAUAUUUAUAUAGUUCUCACCCCGUGUGGUUUUGGGGUACAGGUACAUGCAGAGGCGAGUCGAGCGAGGACCGCGGCAAGGGCAUAGCGCCCUAAGUGAGUCUAGUUAGUAGCUUUUUCUUUAUGCAUUA